rnacentral:rRNA from 1 species
AUUGAACGCUGGCGGCAGGCCUAACACAUGCAAGUCGAGCGGAUGAAGGGAGCUUGCUCCUGGAUUCAGCGGCGGACGGGUGAGUAAUGCCUAGGAAUCUGCCUGGUAGUGGGGGAUAACGUCCGGAAACGGGCGCUAAUACCGCAUACGUCCUGAGGGAGAAAGUGUGGGAUCUUCGGACCUCACGCUAUCAGAUGAGCCUAGGUCGGAUUAGCUAGUUGGUGGGGUAAAGGCCUACCAAGGCGACGAUCCGUAACUGGUCUGAGAGGAUGAUCAGUCACACUGGAACUGAGACACGGUCCAGACUCCUACGGGAGGCAGCAGUGGGGAAUAUUGGACAAUGGGCGCAAGCCUGAUCCAGCCAUGCCGCGUGUGUGAAGAAGGUCUUCGGAUUGUAAAGCACUUUAAGUUGGGAGGAAGGGCAGUAAGUUAAUACCUUGCUGUUUUGACGUUACCAAAAGAAUAAGCACCGGCUAACUUCGUG